CAACUUUCAGCAACGGAUCUCUGGGUUCCUGCAUCGAUGAAGAACGUAGCAAAUUGCGAUAAGUCGGGGGAAUUGCCCAGGGAAUCAUUGAAUCUUUGAACGCAUCUUGCACCCAUCGGUAUUCCGGGGGGGACGCCGGUUUCAGGGCUAUUAA
rnacentral:rRNA from 1 species